ACUCCUACGGGAGGCAGCAGUGGGAAUAUUGCACAAUGGGCGCAAGCCUGAUGCAGCCAUGCCGCGUGUAUGAAGAAGGCCUUCGGGUUGUAAAGUACUUUCAGCAGUGAGGAAAGGGUGGGGUAUGUUAAUAGCAUACUCAUUUGACGUUAGCUGCAGAAGAAGCACCGGUUAACUCCGUGCCAGCAGCCGCGGUAAUACGGAGGGUGCGAGCGUUAAUCGGAAUUACUGGGCGUAAAGCGCAUGCAGGUGGUUUGUUAAGUCAGAUGUGAAAGCCCGGGGCUCAAGCCUCGGAAUA
rnacentral:rRNA from 1 species